GUGGAAGGAUCUUCCACAAUGGACGCAAGUCUGAUGGAGCAACGCCGCGUGAGUGAAGAAGGUUUUCGGACCGUAAAGCUCUGUUGUUGGUGAAGAAGGAUAGAGGUAGUAACUGGCCUUUAUUUGACGGUAAUCAACCAGAAAGUCACGGCUAACUACGUGCCAGCAGCCGCGGUAAUACGUAGGUGGCAAGCGUUGUCCGGAUUUAUUGGGCGUAAAGCGAGCGCAGGCGGAAGAAUAAGUCUGAUGUGAAAGCCCUCGGCUUAACCGAGGAAUUGCAUCGGAAACUGUUUUCUUGAGUGCAGAAGAGGAGAGUAGAACUCCAUGUGUAGCGGUGGAAUGCGUAGAUAUAUGGAAGAAUACCAGUGGCGAAGGCGGCUCUCUGGUCUGCAACUGACGCUGAGGCUCGAAAGCAUGGGUAGCGAACAGGAUUAGAUACCCUGGUAGUCCAUGCCGUAAACGAUGAGUGCUAAGUGUUGGGAGGCUUCCGCCUCUCAGUGCUGCAGCUAACGCAUUAAGCACUCCGCCUGGGGGAGUACGACCGCAAGGUUGAA
rnacentral:rRNA from 1 species